rnacentral:pre_miRNA from 1 species
CUACCAGAGUUUUUUGGCAUUCUGUCCACCUCCUGCUUUUUGAAUUAAUUUCUUAAUUAAGUAAUUAAUUAAUUGAUUUCUGUAAUUAAUUAAUAAAUAUGAAGGAGGUGGGCAUACUGCCAACUGAGUUCUGGUUU